GAUGAACGCUGGCGGCGUGCCUAAUACAUGCAAGUCGAGCGAACAGACGAGGAGCUUGCUCCUCUGACGUUAGCGGCGGACGGGUGAGUAACACGUGGAUGACCUACCUAUAAGACUGGGAUAACUUCGGGAAACCGGAGCUAAUACCGGAUAAUAUAUUGAACCGCAUGGUUCAAUAGUGAAAGACGGUUUUGCUGUCACUUAUAGAUGGAUCCGCGCCGCAUUAGCUAGUUGGUAAGGUAACGGCUUACCAAGGCAACGAUGCGUAGCCGACCUGAGAGGGUGAUCGGCCACACUGGAACUGAGACACGGUCCAGACUCCUACGGGAGGCAGCAGUAGGGAAUCUUCCGCAAAGGGCGAAAGCUUGACGGAGCAACGCCGCGUGAGUGAUGAAGGUCUUCGGAUCGUAAAACUCUGUUAUUAGGGAAGAACAAAUGUGUAAGUAACUAUGCACGUCUUGACGGUACCUAAUCAGAAAGCCACGGCUAACUACGUG
rnacentral:rRNA from 1 species